UCUUCGAUAGUAUAGUGGUCAGUAUUUCUGCUUGUCAUUCACAGAACAACUCGCAGGAGGCCGGGGUUCGAUUCCCCGUCGGAGAG